rnacentral:rRNA from 1 species
AUUGAACGCUGGCGGCAUGCCUUACACAUGCAAGUCGAACGGCAGCACGGGGCAACCUGGUGGCGAGUGGCGAACGGGUGAGUAAUGCAUCGGAACGUGCCAUUGAGUGGGGGAUAACGUAGCGAAAGUUGCGCUAAUACCGCAUAUUCUGUGAGCAGGAAAGCAGGGGACCGCAAGGCCUUGCGCUCUUUGAGCGGCCGAUGUCAGAUUAGCUAGUUGGUGAGGUAACGGCUUACCAAGGCGACGAUCUGUAGCGGGUCUGAGAGGAUGAUCCGCCACACUGGGACUGAGACACGGCCCAGACUCCUACGGGAGGCAGCAGUGGGGAAUUUUGGACAAUGGGCGAAAGCCUGAUCCAGCCAUGCCGCGUGAGUGAAGAAGGCCU